GGCCUUAGAGUGUGGUUUGAAAUCAGGUCUCUGCAUUUGUCCGCGUUCUUCACUGUCAUGUGGCUCCUCCCGAUGUGAUAGCAAAGAUGCCCGUGGACAAACCAGGCUUGGGUCCAUCAUGUUGGCAAUCUGGAGGAAGCCGAGCACUUUUUCUCCAACUGACUCAGUCCCAGGACUGGCUCUCAUUUGCCCAGCUUGUGCAGAAUCUCAUUGUCCUAAUGUUAAAUAUAUAUCAUCAGUGCUCAAUGUUACAGCUUCAAACAUAGAAGAUACAAGAAGUAAAUGCUGAGAUUUCGCUAUUUGUUAACCUAUCAUGUGAUGAACCUAUACAAAUUGUGUAAAGCAAAUGUUUUCAGGCAUUGGAUGUCAAGCAGCACAGGACUAUCAACCUGAAGGAAAGAGAAUCACACAAGAUGAGCCUCAUAUUUAUCCUGGCUUUCCGCUUCGGAGCACUCUCUCAACUUCAACACAGAGAAGUGAAACCCAAGUGAAAGAGUAUUGCUAAACCAAGGAGGCAGACCUCAUGUUUGUUCAAGAGUACCCAAGAGAUAGGAUCUGUAAGAGGCACACAGGACCACAUUUGUUCUACCACGCUAUGCUGAAUAUGAGGCAAAAGUUAACACCUGGAAAUUUUGCUAUCCUGAAAUGAGGCAGUGCAUUGUGGAGAAAAAAAGAAUGGACUCUUCUAUUAAAUGAACGUAAGUGAGCAAGCUGUUUAUAAACUAUAAAAGUGACAAAUAUGUAUAAUUAUAUUUAAAUGUUAUCAUUACAAAUUGUUAAGGCAGUAUUGCACCCUACGGGCUUUGGAAACCGUGACCAUUUGCAUUCAUUAUCGAUCAUUGCAUAAAAAUAAUCACAAAA
rnacentral:lncRNA from 1 species